UACGGAGGGGGUUAGCGUUGUUCGGAAUGACUGGGCGUAAAGCGCGCGUAGGCGGGCUGGAAAGUUGGGGGUGAAAUCCCGGGGCUCAACCCCGGAAUGGCCUUCAAAACUCCCAGCCUAGAGUUCGAGAGAGGUGAGUGGAAUUCCGAGUGUAGAGGUGAAAUUCGUAGAUAUUCGGAGGAACACCAGUGGCGAAGGCGGCUCACUGGCUCGACACUGACGCUGAGGUGCGAAAGCGUGGGGAGCGAACAGG
rnacentral:rRNA from 1 species